CACUUAAUUAGCUGAGGCCUGGGCGUAUCUUUACGUUUUGAAGUGAACCGCUGAAGGGCAGCUUAAAUGGUAAGGCUUAUCAGGGCGAGGCAGCGGUGAUAAGCCUUGCCUCUCUUUUAUGGGGAGUUUGUGUCUGUUUGUUUUUAAUGGUUUGUGGCAGGAAAAUAUCCCCCAAAUAUACUUGAGGGAGGGAGGGAAAGAAUCCCACCCCCUUCGCUUUUCAUUUGUCAUGAAUUAAAAACGGCUUAAUCUCAAAGCCAUAUAAAAAUGGGCCGCGCUUCGCAGCAGAUCUGCGUCCCCGAUCAUUAGUCGACAUUCAAAGUUGCGGGGACACUAGAGAGGUUAAGAUACGCUCCUUUGAACGCUCAUCUCCUCCAGACCAACCUCACAUUACCUUCUUUAAACCAAUUAGGAGUGUUAAUGAAGUCGCCCUGGGAGUGUUCUCUGACUGUACUGUUUUGCCUCGGCAGCUUGACAUUCAGAAUUAUCGAACUGGGAGGUGAGAAGGGAGGGGCAUGCUCAUCAAAAGACGUCCACCUCCAAACAAUGUUUAACACAAGCUUCUCAUCUCCUCAGCACAUAAAAGAGGUGAACGUUGUUCCCUGGCCGUCAGUGACUGGAAGGAGACCACUUCAAAUACAAUGCUCCUCUGGGACUUCAUCCCUUCCCGAACCAGCCGGGCAUCAGCGAAUGAAAACAGAUGAAAAUGUCUGGGAAGGGAAAGACCCAACGAGAGCCCAAGAAACGGCGCCUACACACCUGUGAACAGCUGCAGGCUGCUAACGAGGAGGUGAAUGCAGGGAGGAGCCUGAGGGAGGUGGCUCGUGCCUCCUGUCAGCACUUGUUUACAGGGAAACCAAAUGGUCCAAAAACAUUCCACAUAGUUCCUAACUAUUGCAGUUUGGUUACAAGCUGUCUUUUAGGGAGUCCUGUUCAUUUUCUUCACUUGGGCACAAUCAAGAGCAGUAAGAGAGGCACGCAGGAAUGUUGCGUCUCAGUUUGCGUUAGAGCAUGUAUUUUGCAAACAAGUUGAAUAGAUAUCCUACAUUUCUUAUGUGUGCUAUACGUUAUUGGCAUAUGUUAUUGUAACACACCGAUGUAUUAUUCACAGAGCUCUCGUGAAUCGGUUGGCACGGCAAAACAAAAGCUCUGUCAGCAGGUGACGGGUUUGCUUGUUUAAAUGCAGAUCAGAGGUUGGCGCAGUGGUUUUCUUUUUAAGAUUCUGCACAUCAAAGUCUUAUGCAAUUCAUUAUUGAUUGAUUCAGUGUUUGUUAUUGAUGACCACAUUAUUAUUAGCACCCAACUCAUGAAAAAUGUGUUUAAUAUUAGCCAUAAUAAUAUUAAUACUAAUG
rnacentral:lncRNA from 13 species